ACCUGCCUCGAGGAGGGGGAUAACAGCGGGAAACUGCUGCUAAUACCCCAUAUGCCGAAAGGUGAAAAGAAAUUUGCCUUGAGAGGGGCUCGCGUCCGAUUAGCUAGUUGGUGAGGUAAGAGCUUACCAAGGCGACGAUCGGUAGCUGGUCUGAGAGGAUGAGCAGCCACACUGGGACUGAGACACGGCCCAGACUCCUACGGGAGGCAGCAGUGGGGAAUUUUCCGCAAUGGGCGAAAGCCUGACGGAGCAACGCCGCGUGGGGGAAGAAGGCCUUUGGGUUGUAAACUCCUUUUCUCAGGGAAGAAGCACUGACGGUACCUGAGGAAUCAGCCUCGGCUAACUCCGUGCCAGCAGCCGCGGUAAUACGGAGGAGGCAAGCGUUAUCCGGAAUUAUUGGGCGUAAAGCGUUCGUAGGCGGCUUUUCAAGUCUGCUGUCAAAGGCCGAGGCUCAACUUCGGAAAGGCAGUGGAAACUGAAAAGCUAGAGGUCGGUAGGGGCAGAGGGAAUUCCCAGUGUAGCGGUGAAAUGCGUAGAUAUUGGGAAGAACACCGGUGGCGAAAGCGCUCUGCUGGGCCGAACCUGACGCUGAGGGACGAAAGCUAGGGGAGCG
rnacentral:rRNA from 1 species